UUCACAGUUCCGCUGAGGUCAUAUCAAAAUAAAAUGGCUGAUGAUCCAAAUUCUAAUACACCACCAGAAACCCUGUUGUGCUAUUUGCACAACAUUUCGCAAGUUAAAACAGCAACUGAAUCAAAACGAAAGUACUUCAACUGUGUGGUUCAGUGUGAUAACAGGGCACUGAGAGGCGUAUGUUUUUCGCCAGAAAAGAGAUCUGAGAUGAGCGCCGUCGCAACCACCAAAA